rnacentral:rRNA from 1 species
GAUGAACGCUGGCGGCGUGCCUAAUACAUGCAAGUCGAGCGAACAGACGAGGAGCUUGCUCCUCUGACGUUAGCGGCGGACGGGUGAGUAACACGUGGAUAACCUACCUAUAAGACUGGGAUAACUUCGGGAAACCGGAGCUAAGACCGGAUAAUAUAUUGAACCGCAUGGUUCAAUAGUGAAAGACGGUUUUGCUGUCACUGAUAGAUGGAUCUGCGCCGCAUUAGCUAGUUGGUAAGGUAACGGCUUACCACGGCAACGAUGCGUAGCCGACGUGAGGGGGUGAGCGGCCACACUGGAACUGAGACACGGUCAAGACCCCGACGGGAGGGAGCAGUAGGGAAGCGGCCGCAAUGGGCGAAAGCGUGACGGAGCAACGCCGCGUGAGUGAUGAAGGUCUUCGGCUCGUAAAACUCUGUUACUAGGGAAGAACAAAUGUGUAAGUAACUAUGCACGUCUUGACGGUACCUAAUCAGAAAGCCACGGCUAACUACGUG